AUAUAGUUAAUUACUCAUUGUGCUAUCACAAAACCUGAAAUGGAGAAGGCAACGUUUCUUAAGAUUUUUUUGGUCUCUUUUUUGCUUAUUUUGUUGGGACAAGGAAGCGAUGCGUUUGGAUGCAUGAAGGAUUCUGAUUGUUCACAUACAAAAUGCAUAGAUAAACAUCCCGUAUGUGAUUUGACACAUCAUAUAUGCACCUGUCAAGCUCCACCAUCUAGUUAUGGAAGAAAAAUCAUUCACAACAUUCACCAAAAUUGAUUUAUUAUGUUUUUUGUAAUUUAUAUGCAAAAAUGAACCAUGAUUUAUGUAUUUCCUAUUCAUAGUAAUAUAUGGUUCAAUAAUCAA